GUAAGGAGGGAGUAAAGGAAGGAAGGUAGGGCUGAAGAAAGGAAAGAAGGGAAGGACAGGAAGGAAGGAAGGUAGGGCUGAAGAAAGGAAGGAAGGGAAGGAUGGUGAAGAAAGGAAAGAAAGAAGAGAAA